UUUGAAGUUCUUUCUAUUUAGAAUAAAUUUGCAAUUCAGAUUCUUACUCAAUGAUUGAAUAGACAUAAGGUAUUUUUUAAUUUUUAAAUAUCUAGCUCCAUUUUCAGAUUUAAUCAUUGCAGUUUCUAUAUAAGUAAUUUUUAAUCUUAAACCAUUACCAAUUAUUUUUGAACAAUCAUACAUGAGUUCUCAUAAAUUUCCCACCUCAGAAGUUAUAUGUGUAGAGGCUCUGGAGUCAAGAAUCCAGUUGCCCUCUCCAUCACUAGCAUUGUUAUCAAGGGAUGCAAAAGCUUUAAGUCCUUUUCUGCAAGUCUUGGCUGAAUGUCCAGCCUUCUCGCAUAAUUGGCAAACCACAGAAUUUGAAUUUCUUUUCCAUCUCGAGUUAAAAUUCCUGUUUGAAUUUUGAUUUAUAUUUGAAUUAGAACGAUGAUUCUACCCUCUAGAAUUAUUUGAGUACUUGUCUGCAAAAGUUAUAGGAGUCGUGGUUGAAUUUUGGGAACUAGAAUCUUCUUCAAGAAUCGAUCCUCUUUAAUGAUUAGAUGAAGAAAAUCAUCAAACAACAUGUUUUCUUGACUGCGCACACUUGAAAUAAAAGUGUUUGAAUUCUGGCCCCAGACCGUCGGCCAUACAUUCAACGAUGUCUAUAUCCCAAAGCUUAUCGCCAGUGGCUGAUAAACUAUCGGUGAGCGUGUAAUGACCGAUGAUGGUCGGAGACGCAAUAGAGGUAGAUGAUCGGAGGAGAUGAGAAGAUUGGGUUGGAGUUCUGUAAGUAGGGAGAUGAAGAAGCAGAAUAUUUGUUGUAAAAUUUUUGUUGCCUCUCUCAGGCAUUUAUUCUCCCAAAUAAAGCAUAACGUCUGUAACGGAAAGCAAUAAUUAGUAAAUAAAGUCCUUCUGGCGUAUGGAGGUCGUGCGGCGAGCAGAACGGCGAGGUGCGUCCUCUGUUUCUUCUGUGAUUCCAUCCUGUUGUGGCUGUGCAUCCACGCUUUGGCGUACCAGCUCCAGAUCGAGAUCGAGUGGUGUCGGCCACGUUACAGAGUGCACGAACUUUAUUAAAGAAAUCACUCAUCGUUUUAUCAUCAGACUUUUUCGAAUUCCUCAGUUGCUCACAAAUACCCUGAAAAUGAAUCACCUUGCACGUCGAGAGGUGAGUUUCAAGUAUCGCCCAGCAGUCAACGACAGUCUCAUGAUUCAUCACUUAUUAAACCUAAAUCAAUGUAAACCUGAGAUUAGUUAGUUGAUUUGUUAUAAUUCAGUUGACUAAAUCAAUAUAUAAAUAAUGUAAUCAGCUAUGAAUAAAGAAAUUAAUUUUCAGUUAUACCGUUUAGACUUGUCUCUUCUUCUUCUUCCCAAUCUUGUAAGUUUUCUACUUUUACGACG
rnacentral:lncRNA from 1 species